UCGUGAACAAAAACACACAGAUAUAAUAAAAGAAGGAAACACAUGAAUUAGAAAAUAACAGCCUAUGGUAAACGUUGGAAAUGUUGUCAAAUGAAAACAAAAACAAACUUGUCUAUUUCUUGUUUCUUUCCCCUUCCCUUUGUGUA
rnacentral:ribozyme from 12 species